rnacentral:sRNA from 1 species
AGCCUAAACUAGCAAGUAAUUGUUGGCAUGGCGAAAGAAAACCGUUGAAGAUAAAGAACCCAUCAUAUGGGAUUUGUCUUCAACGGCCGUAUCGGGAAACUGGUACGGAAGGCUCCGAGCCUUC